rnacentral:lncRNA from 1 species
CCCCACCCUAUGACCAGUCGCAAGAUGGUCAUUAAAUACUCCCUCUUGACCCCACCAUUUUCACGAGUCAUUACAUAUACAUCAUCCAGCUGAUUUGCUUGCAUUAAACAAGGAUGGCAAAAAAAAAAAAUUAUAAUAUUUUACUAUUUGAUGGGGUCUUAUCCAUCGAGAACUCGUCCGCUUGAUUCAUACACGUUCAC